rnacentral:rRNA from 1 species
UACGUAGGUGGCAAGCGUUGUCCGGAAUUAUUGGGCGUAAAGCGCGCGCAGGCGGUCCUUUAAGUCUGAUGUGAAAGCCCACGGCUCAACCGUGGAGGGUCAUUGGAAACUGGAGGACUUGAGUACAGAAGAGGAAAGCGGAAUUCCACGUGUAGCGGUGAAAUGCGUAGAGAUGUGGAGGAACACCAGUGGCGAAGGCGGCUUUCUGGUCUGUAACUGACGCUGAGGCGCGAAAGCUAGGGGAGCAAACAGG